rnacentral:SRP_RNA from 1 species
GCUGGGCAUGGUGGCUCAUGCCUGUAAUCCUAGCACUUUGGGAAGCCAAGGUGGGAGGAUCACUUGAGCUCAGGAGUUCAAGACCAGCCUGGGCAACAGAGUGAGACCUCAUCUUUC